UACGAGAGGCCCAAACGUUAUUCGGAUUUACUGGGCUUAAAGAGUUCGUAGGCGGUUCGACAAGUGAGGUGUGAAAUCCCUCGGCUUAACCGAGGAAUUGCGCUUCAAACUGUCGGGCUCGAGGGAGAUAGAGGUGAGCGGAACUGAUGGUGGAGCGGUGAAAUGCGUUGAUAUCAUCAGGAACACCAGAGGCGAAGGCGGCUCACUGGGUCUCUUCUGACGCUGAGGAACGAAAGCUAGGGGAGCAAACGGG
rnacentral:rRNA from 1 species